rnacentral:rRNA from 1 species
GGGGGGCGCGUCACAACCGGUGUAGAAAUGUGGUUUUAUUUAGAACUUUGGGGAAGAACUUUCCCGGGUCUUGUCAUCCUCUGACAACCCUAAAAAUAGGGUGUCCCCUUCGGGGGCAGAGUAACAGGUGGUGCAUGGUUGUGGUCAGCCCGUGUGGUGAGAUGUUGGGUUAAUUCCCCCAACGAGCGCAUCCCUUGUUUUUAGUUGCCAGCAUUCAGUUGGGCACUCUAAGGAGACUGCCGGUGACAACCCGAAGGAAGGUGGGGAUGACGUCAAAUCAUCAUGCCCCUUAUUACCUGGGCUACACACGUGCUACAAUGGGCAGAACAAAGGGCAGCGAACCCGCGAGGUUAACCCAAUCCCCCAAAUCUGUUUUCAGUUCGGAUCGCAGUCUGCAACUCGACUGCGUGAAGCUGGAAUCGCUAGUAAUCGCGGAUCAGCAUCCCGCGGUGAAUACGUUCCCGGGCCUUGUACACCCCGCCCGUCACCCCCGAGAGUUUGUAACACCCGAAGUCGGUGAGGUAACCUUUUGGAGCCAGCCGCCGAAGGUGGACAGAUUAUUGGGGAAGUCGUAACAAGGAGCC